rnacentral:rRNA from 1 species
GACGAACGCUGGCGGCGUGCUUAACACAUGCAAGUCGAACGGAAAGGCCCCUUUGGGGGUCCUCGAGUGGCGAACGGGUGAGUAACACGUGAGUAACCUGCCCUUGACUUCGGGAUAACUUCAGGAAACUGGGGCUAAUACCGGAUAGGAAUCCUUGCUGCAUGGUGGGGGUUGGAAAGCUUCGGCGGUUUUGGAUAGACUCGCGGCUUAUCAGCUUGUUGGUGGGGUAGUGGCUUACCAAGGCUUUGACGGGUAGCCGGCCUGAGAGGGCGACCGGCCACAUUGGGACUGAGAUACGGCCCAGACUCCUACGGGAGGCAGCAGUGGGGAAUAUUGCACAAUGGGCGGAAGCCUGAUGCAGCAACGCCGCGUGCGGGAUGACGGCCUUCGGGUUGGAAACCGCUUUCAGCAGGGGCGAAGCUUGUGGUGACGGUACCUGCAGAAGAAGCACCGGCUAACUACGUG